rnacentral:rRNA from 1 species
CCUACGGGAGGCAGCAGUGGGGAAUAUUGCACAAUGGGGGAAACCCUGAUGCAGCGACGCCGCGUGAGUGAAGAAGUAAUUCGUUAUGUAAAGCUCUAUCAGCAGGGAAGAAAAUGACGGUACCUGAGUCAGAAGCCCCGGCUAACUACGUGCCAGCAGCCGCGGUAAUACGUAGGGGGCAAGCGUUAUCCGGAUUUACUGGGUGUAAAGGGAGCGUAGACGGCAGUGCAAGUCUGGAGUGAAAGGCGGGGGCUCAACCCCCGGACUGCUCUGGAAACUGUACGGCUGGAGUGCAGGAGAGGUAAGUGGAAUUCCUAGUGUAGCGGUGAAAUGCGUAGAUAUUAGGAGGAACACCAGUGGCGAAGGGGGCUUACUGGACUGUAACUGACGUUGAGGCUCGAAAGCGUGGGGAGCAAACAGGAUUAGAUACCCUAGUAGUC